rnacentral:tRNA from 1 species
UGCCCCGUGGCUCAAUUGGCAGAGCAUCUGGUUCUGGUCCAGAGGGUUGAUGGUUCGAGUCCAUCCGGGGCAG